rnacentral:rRNA from 1 species
UACGGAGGAUGCGAGCGUUAUCCGGAUUUAUUGGGUUUAAAGGGUGCGCAGGCGGAUUUUUAAGUCAGCGGUCAAAUCGUGGGGCUCAACCCCAUCCAGCCGUUGAAGCUGGGGAUCUAGAGUGUGCGAGAGGUAUGCGGAAUGCGUGGUGUAGCGGUGAAAUGCAUAGAUAUCACGCAGAACCCCGAUUGCGAAGGCAGCAUACCGGUGCACAACUGACGCUCAGGCACGAAAGCGUGGGUAUCGAACAGG